rnacentral:rRNA from 1 species
AAUUGGAGGGCAAGUCUGGUGCCAGCAGCCGCGGUAAUUCCAGCUCCAAUAGCGUAUAUUAAAGUUGUUGCAGUUAAAAAGCUCGUAGUUGAAUUUCGGGAUCAAUAUUUCGGUCAUGCCGUUGGUAUGCACUGUUAUCAUUGAUUUCUCACCUUCUAAAGAACCGUAAUGCCAUUAAUUUGGUGUUACGGGGAAUUAGGACUGUUACCUUGAAAAAAUUAGAGUGUUUAAAGCAGGCUCACGCUUGAAUACAUUAGCAUGGAAUAAUGAAAUAGGACAUCCGAUUCUAUUUUGUUGGUUUCUAGGAUCGAUGUAAUGAUUAAUAGGGAUAGUUGGGGGCAUUAGUAUUCAAUUGUCAGAGGUGAAAUUCUUGGAUUUAUUGAAGACUAACUACUGCGAAAGCAUUUGCCAAGGAUGUUUUCAUUAAUCAAGAACGAAAGUUAGGGGAUCGAAGACGAUCAGGUACCGUCGUAGUCUUAACCAUAAACUAUGCCGACUAGGGAUCGGAUGAUGUUAAUUUUUUAAUGACUCAUUCGGCGCCUUACGGGAAACCAAAGUGU